AACCUAGUGGCGUAACGGUAGCGCGUCUCUUUCCUAUAAUAGGAGAAGGUUGUAGGUUCGAUUCCUACCUUGGUUA